GUGUGUCGCUGCUAACAGUGAAACUAAUCAUUUCAAGCUAACGCCUCAUUCUUACUCAAAUUUAGACCAAAAUAAGAAGUAAAUUAAGGUGGAAAAAAUAUCGUCUUCUAACUGACGAUCGACGAAGUCAUGGCAAAAAGUUAAUAUUUCCCCAAAAACCAGGUCUUUUAUCGGAAAACAGACCUCAUCUUCUUAUCUUCUUAUCUUCUCUACUUAAAAAGAGGUCACUGCUGCUCCAGAAACAAACUGCAGCCAUGUUGGGGAUCAACAGAUGAUUGGAGACGCUGGAACCGGAGAACACACACGGCUGCUCUCCUUGGCCUGUCUGACAGGCCUCGGCUCCAGCUCCUCGCAGGCCGACACGCUGAUGAUGAGGAGGGGAACUCAUCCAAACUCACUCCUCCUCCUCCUCCUCCUGCCAGUCCUGGACUCAUGUUGUUACUGUAUUUUUAUUCACGGCAUGUCUCCUUUGCCUCAUGUGUGUGCAUUCGUGAUGGGAUGAGCCGGGAGACGGGGGGGAGGCCGGGGGGGAGAAAGUGCAGGCUAAACAACCCCGUGUGCCUGGAGAAGCCGUGGUUAAAUGGUACACAGCUCGGAAAACAUAAGGUCUGCGAGUACGAGCGCAGCCACGAGAGCAUUGUGGCAUUUAGGGCAAAGAGCUGACACGCUGAAAUAAUCAGGUCGUAAUAAAUAAGAGAGACAACGGGGAGCGAGGAAGGCGUGUCUCUGCGGCGGCGGCCAUUUAGAGGAACUAACUCUUUUCCCCGGCUCACACACAUUCCCUCAGUGUCCUACUUGCAGAAUGUUGUUUUAUAAACCCCAGAAGCCUUGGCCCGUUAAAUGAGCACAAAACAACUCCAACUAACCUUAAUGAGUUGCACUUACUGCACACACAGCGAGGGCAGGUAUGGAGGCGAGCCUCGGCGCCGCACUCUCCCUCACAUUAAGCCCCGUUUAGCCGAGGCAGUAACCUCCCACAAUGAUGCGCUAAUUAGCUUCAUUAGCUUUUUUUUCCUCCCAUUCUUGUUGUUUUUUAGUUUUGGCAGAGCGGCUGAGGCUUAGCUUCCAGAUAAUAGUCGCUGAGAUCGUUCUAAUCUCGUCUGUCUUGUGUGUUUUUUUUUAAUCUCCACCAAUGUCGCUGUGAUUUCACGCGUUCUACCUGCUGUUCAUCUUGGCGACAGGCACGAGCGCGAGCGAGCGUCGUAAUGAGUCAGGCAUCGGGUUUUAAUAAGCAGAGCUUUACCCGCAGAUCCUUCUGUGAUUUGCAUCCAUGUCGGACACGAGGCGUAAAGCGAGGGUGAUUGAUUCAUGGCUCGUCCCAUAUUGGAGCGAGAGAGAGGGAGAGAGAGAGAGAGAGAGAGAGAGAGAAGAGGGCCGUAGAUUUAUUAUCAAGCUCAGCGACAAAGAGAGGAAGAGAGUGUGCAUAUGUUAAUCCGCUGGCUGAACGAUGAUCAAAGACUGGAACAAGCUGAGCUCUGCCGAUCGCCUCGGGGCACGCCGUGCUCUCCAAGCAGCUGGGAAAGUGUGCAGACGAGGAGUAAACACAUAGUUAGAAAAAUCAAUAAGCGAGGUUCAGGCUGGAGCGCGGCGUGAAGGUCAGAGGAGGCCGGUGUCCGCGGCGCGUUAGAGAGAAAUCCAGAAACCAGAGGCGUUUUUAGGCCAAUUUAAGUGAAGUGAUGUGUGUUUACAGCUGAGUUGUGUCCAGACCAGGGUCAGACAUUAGCAGGGGCUCGGGGCAAAAUGCCCUUGAAAUAUCUAAAAUUGCCCUUGGCUGCGAAUGACCCCGUGAAAUAGAUAGUUAACUUUUGCAAAGCCCAAGUUGAAAGUGGCCAGCCAGGCACCCGUAGCACACCGCUUGUCCCGUUUCCUCCUUUGUGUGACCGCGGCUCACACGGGGCAGUUAUUUUACAAAUAUAACGUCAUAAAAUCAUCAUGAUGUGUCAUCAGAGAUGAACCUAAAAUACUGGCUUCACUGAUAAAAUGCUGACGCCCUU